AAACAAUAAUUAUUGUUCAAUAGGGAAUUAAUUUCUACAUGUUAAUGACGUUUUCCUAGACCUAGACUAGACCUCACAAAAAUCAAAUUUUAUAGUUAUAAACGCGCCCGCUUGGUGCGUUCAUCCACCAAAGUCCACAACACGUCAACACCACAACCCCGAGAUUUGAGAAUGUUGUCUGCUUUGAACUUUGUUUUAAGUUCUGAAAACUGUGAUUUUCACUAUUAAUUGAAUUACGUAUAAUCUAAAAACGUUCUGAAUUUGUGUUAUUACAAAUUAUAGUGACUAUAGCAGGGUAAAAUAUUGUAACAUAAAACAAUGUUUCAAUGGAAGCCAACUUUUUUACAAAGGCCCAGUCCUCCAACUGCAGAGCAACAGGAAAAAGACAUGAUGAAUUGUGUUAACAACUCAGAUGUAGUCCAGGCUCUGGAUAUGCAAGAUAAUGUAUGUUCAGUAAAUGCAGGAACAAAUGAAUGGACCCAAAAAUUAAAUGACCUACUUAUUUAUAAGAAAAAUUUAGACACCAGCAUUCAAGAUCUGAAUACCAGAUUCCCAGAACUUACAAAGAUAUCAAAUGAAUUGCAAAAUAUGUCUGAUAAUGUAAAAUUAAAGGCUUACCAAUCAAUAAAUUAAGAUAAGGCAACUGA